UCAAGCAGAAUCUCGAUCGCGUUUCAAAUCACGUGAUCAAUGAGUACGAGCGGCGUCGACACGUCACGUGACUGCUGAACGGCUUGUCUGCCGUUUGAACUUGUCUCUUUCUCUCCAGUAGGUGUGCUUCCCCCCCACUCUCUCUCUCCUCCAUUGUGUUCUCACCUACAGGUAUCAUCGUACUCAGAGCUUUGUGUCUGUGGUGUGCCCAGUCUCUGGUCCAACCAUCCUGCCUGUGUCCAGUCUCUGGUCCAACCAUCCUGCCUGUGUCCAGUCUCUGGUCCGACCAUCCUACUUCAGGUACAACUCAGAGUCCUGUCGUCUCCAGAAGUUCUGAUGACUCUGCUAUUGUAGGACGUAUCCUGGGGGAUGAUGUCACAGUGUACCAGGAAGUGGUGAACAGCUUUGUCGACUGGUGUGGAAAGAACCACCUCCAACUGAACAUCAGUAAAACUAAGGAGCUGGUGAUAGACUUCAGGUAAUCUGGGAGUGCUGUCACCCCUCUCACUAUUAAAAAUUAGGAGAUGGAGGUGGUGACUGAGUUUAAAUACCUGGGAGUGUACUUGGACAAUAAACUGGACUGGAAAAAGAACUCCUCAGCCGUGUACAAGAAGGCUCAGAGCAGGAUGUAUUUCUUGAGGAGGCUCAGGUCCUUUAACGUCUGCAGCUCCAUGCUGAGGAUGAUCUAUGAGUCUGUGGGUCCAGUGUUUUACGUUGUGGUCUGCUGGGGCAGCAGCAUGAAUGUAGCAGACAGUAACAGACUAGACAAACUGAUCAAGAGGACUGGUUCUGUUCUGGGGGUGGAGCUGGACCCCCUACAUGCUGUAGCUGAGAGGAGGAUGCUGGUCCAACUCCUCUCUAUCCUAGACAACACCUCCCACCCCCUACACAGUGUCUGGCUGGACAGAGGAGCACCUUCAGCCAGAGGCUGAUCAGUAUUAAAUGCUCCACAGAAUGCCACCUGUAGGAGGCCAUCGGCUCCUCUCUCCUCUCUGGGUAAGAGUUGAUCUUCAUCCAUGCAAUAAUAUGUAUAAUUAAACUUUAGCUAGUAAUUAGAUGUAAUUAGACAAUAGUAAUGAUCGUUCGUAUUUUAUUUUUAAUCUCCCGUCCUUCUUGUGUGUACCUCCAUCUGUGACGGCAAUCAAAGUGUGAAGAAUAAUUUCCCUCUGGGAUUAAUAAAGUUUUUUGAAUCUUA